UACGAAGGGGGCUAGCGUUGCUCGGAAUCACUGGGCGUAAAGCGCACGUAGGCGGACUCUUAAGUCAGAGGUGAAAUCCUGGAGCUCAACUCCAGAACUGCCUUUGAUACUGAGAGCCUUGAGUUCGGGAGAGGUGAGUGGAACUGCGAGUGUAGAGGUGAAAUUCGUAGAUAUUCGCAAGAACACCAGUGGCGAAGGCGGCUCACUGGCCCGAUACUGACGCUGAGGUGCGAAAGCGUGGGGAGCAAACAGG
rnacentral:rRNA from 1 species